rnacentral:rRNA from 1 species
AAACGACUCUCGGCAACGGAUAUCCCGGCUCUCGCACGAUGA